rnacentral:rRNA from 1 species
GCAUACGGCCAUAUCACGUUGAAAGCACCGGUUCUCGUCCGAUCACCGAAGUUAAGCAACGUCGGGCCUGGUUAGUACUUGGAUGGGUGACCGCCAGGUGCCGUAAGCU